rnacentral:rRNA from 1 species
AAUAGAUACCCAGGUAGUCCACGCCGUAAACGAUGAGUGCUAAGUGUUGGGGGGUUUCCGCCCCUCAGUGCUGCAGCUAACGCAUUAAGCACUCCGCCUGGGGAGUACGGUCGCAAGACUGAAACUCAAAGGAAUUGACGGGGGCCCGCACAAGCGGUGGAGCAUGUGGUUUAAUUCGAAGCAACGCGAAGAACCUUACCAGGUCUUGACAUCCCGGUGACCACUAUGGAGACAUAGUUUCCCCUUCGGGGGCAACGGUGACAGGUGGUGCAUGGUUGUCGUCAGCUCGUGUCGUGAGAUGUUGGGUUAAGUCCCGCAACGAGCGCAACCCUUAUUCUUAGUUGCCAUCAUUUAGUUGGGCACUCUAAAGGGACUGCCGGUGAUAAACCGGAGGAAGGUGGGGAUGACGUCAAAUCAUCAUGCCCCUUAUGACCUGGGCUACACACGUGCUACAAUGGACGGUACAAACGGUUGCCAAACCCGCGAGGGGGGAGCUAAAUCCGGAUAAAACCGUUCUCAGUUCGGAUUGUAGGCUGCAACUCGCCUACAUGAAGCC